CCUACGGGUGGCAGCAGUGAGGAAUAUUGGUCAAUGGGCGCGAGCCUGAACCAGCCAAGUAGCGUGAAGGAUGACUGCCCUACGGGUUGUAAACUUCUUUUAUAAGGGAAUAAAGUGAGCCACGUGUGGCGUUUUGUAUGUACCUUAUGAAUAAGGAUCGGCUAACUCCGUGCCAGCAGCCGCGGUAAUACGGAGGAUCCGAGCGUUAUCCGGAUUUAUUGGGUUUAAAGGGAGCGUAGGUGGGUUGUUAAGUCAGUUGUGAAAGUUUGCGGCUCAACCGUAAAAUUGCAGUUGAAACUGGCAGUCUUGAGUACAGUAGAGGUAGGCGGAAUUCGUGGUGUAGCGGUGAAAUGCUUAGAUAUCACGAAGAACUCCGAUUGCGAAGGCAGCUUACUAGACUGCAACUGACAUUGAUGCUCGAAAGUGUGGGUAUCAAACAGGAUUAGAUACCCGUGUAGUC
rnacentral:rRNA from 1 species